UGGACUUGGACCCCGAAGUCCAGGAGUAAGAGUGCCACUGCCUGGAAUUGUUGAUAAAAUAUUCAGUGGCCAGAUCCUGCUAUUUGUCAUUUCGCCCUUCUAGAAUGUUCCAGAAAAGCCAAGAAAUUUGAUCUGCCAGGAACUCUAGAGAGGGAGAAAAUGGUGACUGGCAGGAACUGGCCACUAGAAACAUUAUCAUCACUCUCUGGUGUUGCUGAAAGCUGCUGCUGUCUGUGUGGUGAAACAGUUAAAGAAAGAACAAAGGCUUGCAAGACCACCACCACCGCCACUGGUAAUUUCCGGAGAUCCGAUCUAAACCAGAGUCCUGAAAGCUCAACUUUCCAAAACCUUCAUAUGCAGCUGCCUGAGUCAGGUCAUUGGCCUGGAGCUUGAUAUUGUCUGUUCUGAAUGGCACAGUCUCUCCAAGGUCCCUGGCAGAAGCCCUUCUCAGAACCUAUCUCAGAGAUCCUUUAACUGGAGAUGCCAGAGACUAAAUGUGGAAUCCUAUACUUGCAAAUAAAGUGCUCUGCCACUGGGUGAUAUUACAACAUUUCCCCACUUCCUCACUGCCAUCUCUAGUGGCAGUGUUUCCUGCAUUCUUGUUGCAGAUCCCUUUAGUCUUAAUAAAGUUGUGGCCUCUAUUUAA